UUUCGCACUAUCCCGUCAGUACGACGACGCUUACCAACGAAGGAUGCCAUUUAAUGUGACGAAAUAAGUGCUCCUCAAGUAGGCUAGGCCUACAUUAAUCAGCCUACGUUGACAGGAACAAUGGACUCCAAAUCCAACAAGAAGUCUAAGAAGAAAAAAAUUCAAAGUGGAGGGUUCCUUUUAUCAACUCGAACUGAAUCCAAUAAAGUCGCACAUGUGGAAACCAAGAGAAAGAGUGUUAUCCCCUUCAGCAAGACCUACAAGAAAAUCCUUCCUCCAGUCAAGCGUCAUGUGCCAAGGUAUUUGCCACCCAUUGAACACUCAAGAAACCUUUCCAAAAAAGGUGGCAAGAAUAUUCGUUUGGCAUCAGAUGGCCCUGCUACUGUGAAAAAGUUUGUAAAGCAGCCAUCAUAUGAUGAGGCCCACAGUGAAGUGGCCAGGGACUACUUAUCUCCACAGCUUAUUAGAAAGUUCCCAGCCGAGUCAUUCGCCUUUCUGGAGCAACUCUCUCAAAUGCAGAGAAUAAAUCUGAAGAAGAUUCUAAAGAUGAAGGACAUCACCAACCUGGAGCUCCUUCAAAUGUCCAAAAAGAUCAUUGAUUGGGUAAUUAUUGCAUCCAGAGAUGUGGUUCUCCCAGCUGUGGACUUGUACCAGGCCAUCACAAAUGACCUGUACAAAAGGUACACCCAGAAGGACCUCCAUCAUCAGUGGCUAGGCCUAGGGGAUGGCUGUAUGUCCAGUGCAGUGAAUCAUAUGGUAGUGGUCAAUGCCGCUAACAUAUUUAAUGCCCUAGUCUGCAUGACAAGGACCAACAGGAAGGAACCAGAAGACUCAGAUGAGAGCGGCCUCGCCUACUCUGGACAAUCUACACCGUGUGACCCACCACUUGCUAGCCACAGGAAAAGCAAUCUGCUCUUCUGUAGCCGAAUUCGUGUCAACGCUAGAGAGCUGAUCCGUCACAUUUACCAGAUGCUCCUCGAUUCUCGCUUGGGAAGCAUGUACUUAUCCCAAAGCUGGUGGACAAUGAUGCCUCCAGAUUUGGCUGCCAAAAGGAACCUUGAGUUUCUUUCUGACUUGCUUUUCAACUUCAUUGUAUACGCAGUGAAAAAUCUCCUCGAGUCAUUCUUAGGAUUGCCCCACAAGAUACCAUUCAAUAGCUCAAUGGAGCGGAGCCUUGAGAGCAGGCCAGCUGUCUCCAACACCAUGUCAGAGGAGGAGGAGGAGGCACUUGAGGCCCUGUCUGAAGUGUUGAUCAGUAGGGUGGCUGACAUGCUCUCUAGCACCUCUGAAACUCAGCAGAGUGCCAAUAACGCCAUUGGAAAAGAUUUGUCGUCUGAGGACAGUGCAGUCACAACUGAGGCUGUCCAUGAAGAUCCAAUCAUCUAUGACGAUGACCUAGAGGGGUACACUUCCGCACUCCAGAUGGGUGGGACUCCGACAGCCUGCAGGAGCCCUUGCACUUCAGAUGGUCUAGACUCUACAACAACUCUCAGUGCUCAGUCUCUUGAAGCAGACACUGGGCUUUUAAAGCUAUGCAGGAACGAAGAUGGCAGACACUGUCAUCAGCGCGAGUACAUCGGGGUGUCUGAGAACGGAUCACUGGAUGGAUCUUGCUCAGACCAGGGUUCAGCCAGUACAACCUCAGCACAGAGCAGCUCUACGUCAGUGUCUGUACCUCCAGGUGGCCGUGCUUUCACACUGAAGGAGAGCGGUCAGACUCCCUAUGAGCUUUCGAGUCAGACUAGUGACCACUCCUUAAGCACCUUUCAGCAAAAAUCUUUUGAGUCUAUGGAGGAUACUGUGGAUGUACAAGCCAAAACACUGAAAUGUGAAGACAGUGUGUUUAAAAUGGUAAAUGACUUGUAGUGUCCAGUGUCUCGUCCCUUUGUUCGUGUCUAAAUGACAAGACAUUAAAAUAUUCAAGUCAGCAACUGAGAUUCAGAACAUUAAUACAAAAAAAAGUGGGGAAAAUCCAAGUUAGUGAUCAAUCUAGUUUGUGCCCUGGGUAGAAUAGUGGUCUCAGCAACUAUACUCACAAAUGGGAUGAGAAUAAAAAAAAAUAAAAAAAACGUAUUUAGCUGGAAAGUGAGGACAUGGAUAGAAGGGGGUGCAUUUGUUCUAUAUAACCAUUCUCCUACCCACAUCCCUGACUCCACCAAUUUUGUCAUUUAUUCCACAGACUAAAAACAAAAUAUGUCCAGAAGGUAUGUUUUCUAUUUUUUUUAAAGACACAGCAUGAUGCAAUAACUAUAACUAUUAUUCUAAUGAACGGUUCUAGCAGUGUUCUCUGGCACUGACAAUUACUGUCCAAAGUUAAAUGCAACACUAUUAUGUGGCUACGCAGGUGUUGUGGAUACAGUCACUGAUAGACCAUUCUGCCUGUCUUGGGCUCUAUCAACACUCUUCUGCUGCAGGUGUAGAGAGGAAUCACUUGAAGAAAAAGAUCCACAUGAACAAAAUUCA
ensembl:lncRNA